AGAGCAGAUACUGCUUCAGAGUUGCUGAAUAAGGUGUUUGGUGUUUAAACCUAACAUUAAUUGGUCCUUCGAGCCGGAUUGCAAGACACCUGACGAUUCCCAGCAGGCUGGGGUCCGACGGUUGAAGCAUUUCAAGGACGCAGAG